GCCAGACUCCUACGGGAGGCAGCAGUGGGGAAUAUUGCACAAUGGGGGAAACCCUGAUGCAGCAACGCCGCGUGGGUGAAGGAGCGUUUCGGCGCGUAAAGCCCUGUCAGCGGGGAAGAAGAAAGACGGUACCUGACCAAGAAGCCCCGGCUAACUACGUGCCAGCAGCCGCGGUAAUACGUAGGGGGCAAGCGUUAUCCGGAAUUACUGGGUGUAAAGGGAGCGUAGACGGUGAUGCAAGUCUGGAGUGAAAGGCGGGGGCCCAACCCCCGGACUGCUCUGGAAACUGUAUGACUUGAGUGCAGGAGAGGUAAGCGGAAUUCCUAGUGUAGCGGUGAAAUGCGUAGAUAUUAGGAGGAACACCAGUGGCGAAGGCGGCUUACUGGACUGUAACUGACGUUGAGGCUCGAAAGCGUGGGGAGCAAACAGGAUUAGAUACCCCUGUAUUC
rnacentral:rRNA from 1 species